rnacentral:rRNA from 1 species
CAUGCAAGUCGAACGAGCGAGAGAGAGCUUGCUUUCUCGAGCGAGUGGCGAACGGGUGAGUAACGCGUGAGGAACCUGCCUCAAAGAGGGGGACAACAGUUGGAAACGACUGCUAAUACCGCAUAAGCCCACGGUGCCGCAUGGCACAGAGGGAAAAGGAGCAAUCCGCUUUGAGAUGGCCUCGCGUCCGAUUAGCUAGUUGGUGAGGUAACGGCCCACCAAGGCGACGAUCGGUAGCCGGACUGAGAGGUUGAACGGCCACAUUGGGACUGAGACACGGCCCAGACUCCUACGGGAGGCAGCAGUGGGGAAUAUUGCACAAUGGGGGGAACCCUGAUGCAGCGACGCCGCGUGGAGGAAGAAGGUCUUCGGAUUGUAAACUCCUGUUGUUGGGGAAGAUAAUGACGGUACCCAACAAGGAAGUGACGGCUAACUACGUGCCAGCAGCCGCGGUAAAACGUAGGUCACAAGCGUUGUCCGGAAUUACUGGGUGUAAAGGGAGCGCAGGCGGGAAGACAAGUUGGAAGUGAAAUCUAUGGGCUCAACCCAUAAACUGCUUUCAAAACUGUUUUUCUUGAGUAGUGCAGAGGUAGGCGGAAUUCCCGGUGUAGCGGUGGAAUGCGUAGAUAUCGGGAGGAACACCAGUGGCGAAGGCGGCCUACUGGGCACCAACUGACGCUGAGGCUCGAAAGUGUGGGUAGCAAACAGGAUUAGAUACCCUGGUAGUCCACACCGUAAACGAUGAUUACUAGGUGUUGGAGGAUUGACCCCUUCAGUGCCGCAGUUAACACAAUAAGUAAUCCACCUGGGGAGUACGACCGCAAGGUUGAAACUCAAAGGAAUUGACGGGGGCCCGCACAAGCAGUG